ACAAUGUGUGUCAUGCAAUGCCCAGCAGCAGCAGCAGCAGCCCCAGACCGCAGUCGGCCACGUGAUCACUCGGCUUCACAUCCGGUGAAGCCAUGGGUCCACUAGCCUGAGGGUGACAGAACCUAUAGGUAAAACAACCGUCUUCGUAUCUAUGGACUAUGGAAAGUUCCUUCAGUUUGAAUCAUCAGCCAGACUUGCAGCAUUGACAAUUAGAAAAUCAACUCGUCAAUCGAGCCUAAACAGCACUGAAUAUGCUCUGGGUUCUUCAGCUCCAAACAGCCAAGAUCUAAUUGUGUAAAAGUAAUCAGGUAUAUUCA